UAGGGAAUCUUCCGCAAUGGACGCAAGUCUGACGGAGCAACGCCGCGUGAGUGAAGAAGGAUUUCGGUUCGUAAAACUCUGUUGUUAGAGAAGAACAGCGCAUAGAGUAACUGUUAUGCGUGUGACGGUAUCUAACCAGAAAGCCACGGCUAACUACGUGCCAGCAGCCGCGGUAAUAUGUAGGUGGCAAGCGUUGUCCGGAUUUAUUGGGCGUAAAGCGAGCGCAGGCGGUCAAUUAAGUCUGAUGUGAAAGCCCCCGGCUCAACCGGGGAGGGUCAUUGGAAACUGCUUGACUUGAGUGCAGAAGAGGAGAGUGGAAUUCCAUGUGUAGCGGUGAAAUGCGUAGAUAUAUGGAGGAACACCAGUGGCGAAGGCGACUCUCUGGUCUGUAACUGACGCUGAGGCUCGAAAGCGUGGGUAGCAAACAGG
rnacentral:rRNA from 1 species